GCCGGAGUAGCUCAGCUGGUAGAGCAGUGCUCUUGUAAAGCAAAGGCCACGGGUUCGAGUCCCGUCUCCGGCU
rnacentral:tRNA from 1 species